rnacentral:tRNA from 4 species
GAUCUGGUAGCUCAGUUGGCAGAGCAUCUCCCUUUUAAGGAGAGGGUCCUGGGUUCGAGCCCCAGCCAGAUCACAA